rnacentral:misc_RNA from 1 species
GAUGAAGAACGUAGCGAAAUGCGAUACUUGGUGUGAAUCGCAGAAUCCCGUGAACCAUCGAGUCUUUGAACGCAAGUUGCGCCCGAAGCCAUUAGGCCGAGGGCACGCCUGCCUGGGCGUCACACGUCGUUGCCCCCCCAUCUACUCCUUCGGGAUUGCGGGGGGCGGAUGAUGGCCUCCCGUGCGCCUCGUCGCGCGGUUGGCAUAAAUGCCAAGUCCUCGGCGACGCACGCCACGACAAUCGGUGGUUGCGAAACCUCGGUUGCCCGUCGUGUGCGGUCGUCGCGCAUCGAGGGCUCGAAAAAAUUGCCGGGCUCCGGCUCGACUUUCAACGCGACCCCAGGUCAGGCGGGGUUACCCGCUGAAUUUAAGCAUAUCAAUAAGCGGAGGA